rnacentral:rRNA from 1 species
AUGGCAGCGAGAAGAGGCUACGAUACAGACAUACAGGGCGCGUGCUGGAUGGGAUGGAUCUGGUGGGAGUUGGUGGGAAGAGGAGAGGAGAGGGGAGGGGGAGGGGCUCACGAUGAGGGAGGCGACGGAGGCGAUGGCGAGCGCGAGGUAGCGGCCGAGGUAGGCGUCGGAGAGGAAGGCGCCGACGAUGGGCGCCAGGCUGGUGGUGCCGUUGAGGCCGUUGAGGAGCGUCGCCGCGUCCACGCUCCGCAUGUGGAACACCUGCGUCAGGUACACCAGCAGGUUCGCCGACGUGCCCAGCGUCCCCAGCUUCUCGAACGUCUCGUUCCCUGCGACAUGAACUCGAUCAGCUCAGAUCCCGGCCGGGGCACACGCGUCGACCACUUCCUGGGUACUUGA